UCUGGAAUACCUCAGUUGGUAGAGCAUGAGACUCUAACUCUCAGGGUUGUGGGUUUGAGCCCCACAUUGGGCAAAA